UACGUAGGUGGCAAGCGUUGUCCGGAUUUACUGGGUGUAAAGGGCGUGUAGCCGGGCUGACAAGUCAGAUGUGAAAUCCGGGGGCUCAACCCCCGAACUGCAUUUGAAACUGUUGGUCUUGAGUAUCGGAGAGGCAGGCGGAGUUCCUAGUGUAGCGGUGAAAUGCGUAGAUAUUAGGAGGAACACCAGUGGCGAAGGCGGCCUGCUGGACGACAACUGACGGUGAGGCGCGAAAGCGUGGGGAGCAAACAGG
rnacentral:rRNA from 1 species